AUUUCAGGUGUUCAAUCUUUUACUACCUUCUGAGCUACUUCAAGCUGUGCAUAAUCGGAUAAACGAGGUGCAUAUUUUCCAAGGAUGCAAGGAAUUAGUGAUUUAAAUACAUAUAAUUCCUAGAGCUGUGAAAGUAAAAUUCACGUCUUAUAUUUGCUACAGUAAGCACAUACAUGAGCUUUGAAAAACUGUAAAUGUAAAAUGUAGAUAAGUAAAACAAAUCUUUUAAGAAAGCAACCUGUACUAUCCCUACUAUCCCUUACCGUUUGAUGAAAUGCAUUAAGCAGUUCCUUACAUAAAACUGAGGCUUGAAUGCUAGUAAAUAAUCUGGUUCACUGCAAAUCAACUGCUGAUUUAAUCAUUCUGUGAGUGACCUGCUGCCUGCAGUUUUGGUCUGCCUACACCAUUUCUCCUGGUGCUAAGACUCACAGGCAGCCUACUGCUUUAUAACCAUCCCUACUGUGAUGUCAGUGCCAGGCUACCUGAUGACCACAAGUCACCACACAGCUAUUAAUAUGGCUGUGGAGUAGCUAGUGAAUAAGUGCUGUUAUCUUCAUUUUACACAUGAGACAGGCAAGGGAGGCAAAGAUUUGCUAAAUGACAUACUGAUGGCCACAGAAAAAGUUUUCAGUUCAAGAUGAAGCUGUCCACACCGGAUGUGUACUCCACCAAGAUGUGAAUGGAAAAUGAGGGGAAAGCCAAGGGGAAUCUCAGGCUUUCUUGCAAAAAUUGCUAUUUACAUGGUCAGCUGAUAAGUGAUAGAAACUGUUCCAGCAAUGUAACUAUCAAAGAAGACGGGAAGGAAGCUCAACCCUUUUACCUUGAAAGUUGUUACCAUACAUCUGAGUAGCACAUCAUUUCUAGAUACCUUUUUCAUUGUACUGACAUCUGUAACAACUUAAACCUAAUAAAUAUGAUAUAUAUGACA
rnacentral:lncRNA from 1 species